GCAGUUGCUUCUGCUACAAUGCAGUCGAGCGGCAGCGGAAGUAGCUUGCUACUUUGCCGGCGAGCGGCGGACGGGUGAGUAAUGUCUGGGAAACUGCCUGAUGGAGGGGGAUAACUACUGGAAACGGUAGCUAAUACCGCAUAACGUCGCAAGACCAAAGAGGGGGACCUUCGGGCCUCUUGCCAUCAGAUGUGCCCAGAUGGGAUUAGCUAGUAGGUGGGGUAACGGCUCACCUAGGCGACGAUCCCUAGCUGGUCUGAGAGGAUGACCAGCCACACUGGAACUGAGACACGGUCCAGACUCCUACGGGAGGCAGCAGUGGGGAAUAUUGCACAAUGGGCGCAAGCCUGAUGCAGCCAUGCCGCGUGUAUGAAGAAGGCCUUCGGGUUGUAAAGUACUUUCAGCGGGGAGGAAGGCGUUGAGGUUAAUAACCUCAGCGAUUGACGUUACCCGCAGAAGAAGCACCGGCUAACUCCGUGCCAGCAGCCGCGGUAAUACGGAGGGUGCAAGCGUUAAUCGGAAUUACUGGGCGUAAAGCGCACGCAGGCGGUCUGUCAAGUCGGAUGUGAAAUCCCCGGGCUCAACCUGGGAACUGCAUUCGAAACUGGCAGGCUAGAGUCUUGUAGAGGGGGGUAGAAUUCCAGGUGUAGCGGUGAAAUGCGUAGAGAUCUGGAGGAAUACCGGUGGCGAAGGCGGCCCCCUGGACAAAGACUGACGCUCAGGUGCGAAAGCGUGGGGAGCAAACAGGAUUAGAUACCCUGGUAGUCCACGCCGUAAACGAUGUCGACUUGGAGGUUGUGCCCUUGAGGCGUGGCUUCCGGAGCUAACGCGUUAAGUCGACCGCCUGGGGAGUACGGCCGCAAGGUUAAAACUCAAAUGAAUUGACGGGGGCCCGCACAAGCGGUGGAGCAUGUGGUUUAAUUCGAUGCAACGCGAAGAACCUUACCUACUCUUGACAUCCAGAGAACUUAGCAGAGAUGCUUUGGUGCCUUCGGGACUCUGAGACAGGUGCCUGCAUGGCUGUCGUCAGCUCGUGUUGUGAAAUGGUUUGGGUUAAGUCCCGCACGAGCGCACCCUUAUCCUUUGUUGCCAGCGGUCGGCGGGACUCAAAGAGACUGCCAGUGAUUAACCUGAGAAAAAAGUUGCAUGACGUCAGUCAUCAUGUCGUACGAGUAGGGCUACCACCUGCUACAUGCGCAUACAAGAAUCGACUCGCGGAGAGCCAGCGGACCUUCUAUAUAGGGUGCGCGCCUCUGC
rnacentral:rRNA from 1 species